CUACAGUGCGCAGGCACCUUCCGCCGGGUGACUUUGGAAGUGUGGUUGGACCCAGCUGUUCUCGACGUGUGGGCGUCUUCCGGGCGUCGUUUAGAGACGCCUGAGGUUGAGCCCGGCUCCAGAAUGUUAAUGCUACUGCAGCAGAUGUAAUGCCGCGUGUGGUCGGUCUCGGUUCUGUGUCGGAAAGCGGUGCUUAGCAGUCACCCCAAAGGUUAUCCGCUUAACGCAACAAGCAGGGAAACCAGAUGGACUGCCUAGCAACAGCAUCCUCCUCUCCCCCCACCUUCUGCAUACCUGGGGCCUGUGGUUGCCCUUUAGUGACCUACCUGAAAAGUCGGCAUAGCACCGUGGGUAGGAGGGAGGCCUGAGAGGAGCACCAGACCCUGAACCCUAGCUGUGCUGCCUAGGCCCAGCCCUCUUCGGGGCUUCCUUUUGGCCAGAUUUCAUCGGCACACCAGAAAGAGUGAGGGCUCUGAGCUCCAAGUGUCUUCUGCCGCCAAACUGCCCCAUCUGGCCCACCCUCCCACGCAGACACACAUAAUCCUGCCUCCCCACAAAAUGGUGUAAUCUGUCUUCCAAGCUCAAGAAAGUCUGACAUGUGACCACUUCCUGCUGUACAGCAUAGCCCACACGUUCUAGAAACCGGG
rnacentral:lncRNA from 1 species